CAUUAAGAAGCUAAAAUAGCACUAGCCUUUUAAGCUAGAGACUGAGAACUCAAAUAUUCUCCUUAAUGG
rnacentral:tRNA from 1 species